rnacentral:rRNA from 1 species
UACGUAGGGGGCGAGCGUUGUCCGAAUUUACUGGGCGUAAAGCGCGCGUAGGCGGGUUGGCAAGUCUGCUGUGAAAGCCUGGGGCUUAACUCCGGAGGGUCGGUGGAUACUGCCAGUCUUGAAGGUGCUAGGGAGAGAUGGAAUUACAGGUGUAGCGGUGAAAUGCGUAGAUAUCUGUAGGAACACCAGUGGCGAAGGCGGUCUCUUGGGGCAUUCUUGACGCUGAGGCGCGAAAGCGUGGGGAGCGAACAGG